rnacentral:sRNA from 1 species
GCCAGGUAUAGUGGUGCAUACCUGUAAUCCCAGGGGCUUGGGAGGCUGAGGCAGGAGGAUUACAAGUUCAAAACCAGCAUUAGCAAAAGAGAGGCACUAAGCAACUCAGUGAGACUCUGUCUCUA